rnacentral:misc_RNA from 1 species
AGUGCUGCUGUUAUUAGCUCACUUUAAAUAUAUAAGUUCUCUCUCAUGUUGUUGGAUUGACUUGGUGUAAUAUUUUUAACACUUUUGUUUUCAUCAAGGAAAGUAGCAAUACUUGCCAACAUUUUAAGGAAGGACUCCUAAAUCAAUUAAUUUUUUUUUUUACAUUAAGACCUCAAAUCAGGU